UAAACACCNAACAACCUUACCUGGUCUUGACANUCACGGGGUUUUAGGGAGAUGAGNAUGUNCCUUGGGAAAACCAUAAAACGGUUGCGGCANGCCUUUCUUCAGNUNGUUUUUUAAAAUGUUGGGUUAAUUCCGCCAACGAGCCCAACCCUUAUCCCAUUUGCCCACCGGUCGGGCCGGCAAUUCAAAGGGGACUCCCNNUAAUAGACUGGAGGAAGUUGGGGAUAACUUCAAUUCAUCAUGGCCNUNUCGACCAGGGGAAAAAACUUGUUACAAUGGCGCAUACAANGAGAAGGGCCCUGGGGGGAGCAAGGGAACCUCAUAAAGUGCUUUGUAUUCNGGAUUGGAUUUGGCAAUUGGANUCGACUCCGGGGCGCGUCUCCCGUGUCAGUACCGGGGGCAACGGGGGGAACGCGAAGAACCUUAUCCAAGG
rnacentral:rRNA from 1 species